rnacentral:lncRNA from 9 species
UCUUUUUCUUUUUUUUGGCCACGCCUGUGGGAUGGGGAAGUUCCUGGGCCAGGAACCGAACCUGAGCCACAGCAGUAACUGGAGCCACAGCAGGGACAAUGCUGAGUCCCCAGCUGCUAGGCCACCACGGAUUCCUCCCUUCAACGUGUGCCUGGGCUCACGUGUUUGUCAGUUAUUGGUUAAACACACUAUUCGUGCACACAGGACGAAAUUCAAAAUGUAAAAUGUCACUGUUCCCCUGCUGCCCGGUCCCUCCUCCGGGUCCUCAGAGUGAAUUGUUCAUAGUAUCCCUUUUUUUCCUCCAUGAGAAAUUUUAUAUUUAGAAUUAGCCAGCUGGACUCAGUUUAGAUGAUUCCAACUUUGUUGGCAACAUCCAAAGCUUCAUAGUUGGGAACCAGUCAAACAUGUGCCUCUUCUCCCCCUUAGGCCUGAGCAAGGCGUCGACUUUAGCCAGGCAAUGUCAUGGGGCUUCUUCACAGCCUCUUCUGCCUGGUGCUUGUUGGCCUUGACCUCCACAAUGCAUACAGGCACGUUGUUGACUUCCGUCUUCUUCGAGGCUGACUUGGUGGUGAGGGAAAUUGAUAAUGGCAGAGUGGUCAAGACUGCUUCUCCCAGGGGCUCUCUUCCAAGGAUAUUUGGACUGACUCCUGGUAGCAGGCUAGUGCCACCACUGCCCCCUGUGUGGACACUCUCCUUAUCCUCCUGUGGAUUUGAAAAUCUGCUUUGGUCGCCCUUCCUCAGGGACACCCUUACCCCGACGUGUGAAAGUGAGCUCAUACCGUGGCCUGAGUCUGCCGUCCCUAGAAGGACUUGUAUGCUGCUCGGGCCCUUGGCUGACCCCCGGUACCCUGGGUUUCAGAAGGGUUCCUACCACUUCUACACUGAUAAGAGUGGCUCACCGUGCCCCAACUGUUUGGAUAAAAAUGUGGUUUAAUUUCAUUAAAAAAAUUUUUUUGGCCAAAAUCAUGGCAUGUAGAAGUUCCCAAGCCAGGGGUCGAACCUGAACCAUGGCGGUGAUAACACUGGAUCCUUCAUUACCAGGCCACCAAGGAACUCCUCAGUAAUGCGGUUUAUGCUGAACAACGGCUUUCCUUAUGGGAUUCCAGAAUUUUGGUACAUUCUAGGCAUGGAGUAGAGCUGAGACCAACUUUCAAUGAAAACCUUGGGUUCUGGAUCUUUUUUCCUUCUCUCAUUAGGGCCACACCCGCGGCAUAUGGAGGUUCCCAGGCUAAGGGUCGAAUUGGAGCUGCAGCUGCUGGCCUACACCACAGCCACAGCAAGACCAGAUUCUUAACCCACUGAGCAAGGCCAGGGAUCGAACUUACAUCCUCACCGAUACUCGUUGGAUUCUUAACCUGCUGAGCCACACAGGACCUCUGUGUGCCAGAUCCCUUCAUGAGCUGCUAGACAGACAC